GCCCCCGUAGUUUAACGGACAAAAUGCAAGGUUGCGGACCUUGAGACUGGAGGUUCGACUCCUCCCGGGGGCACCC
rnacentral:tRNA from 1 species